UCCGAUCUUGAGGUAUCAAUACCUAUCUGAUCCUUAUUGCAAUAAUAAACUGACUCUGUCUGCCCCGAAGGGAUGUCUCUUAAUUCCUUCCUUCCAUAACAUCUCAACUCUCUUCUCCUCUCCCACCGUAAUCCUAUCCUAUCCUAUCCUAUCCCAUCCCCUCCAUUUUCUGAUUCAUUGACUUCCGUGAGCUUUUUUUUUUUUUUUUAAGCUUAAAAGGCUUGCAAUGGUGUAACUGGACGGAUCAGCUGAAAUUUAUCACGGGUCAGUGAUAGGAGGUGGAGACAACCUAUGCAGUGAAAGAGGGCUGCAUUCCUCCCAAGCAUUUUUCUUCUCCGGAAGCAAUGAAAGAACCAGCUGGGAACCAUCAAGCUCUUUGCCGGAAUGUCGUCUGGCUCCAAGAUCCUGGACAGUAUUAAAGCAGUGGCUGAACACACGGAAGGAGCCGUGCGACUCCAGAGGACUCCGCGCAGCUUAGAUUAACCACAAGAAAACGAAAGGAAAGAAGCAAACCGUUUUACCAGCUAUGUCUGGAUCUCAUUUUUAUUUAUUCUUGCGCAACACCGGCUCGAGUUGGAAUCCCAAAUUAUUCUUCCUAACAUAACCUACAACAUCUCACAGUGAUUCAACGUCCACCUUGCCCCAGGAUCUCUGAGAACAGCCAAGUUUUCAAUAGAAGUGGCUAGAGCAGUGCACCAAGUGCUGAAAAGGUUUUCCACUGAACAAGAAUAACGCUUCAUUUUCUAAAUUCCUGGAUCCUGUGUCUUUCGGAAUAGUUAAGACCUCAGCUAACAUACAAACAGCAAAAAGCAAGCGAUGCGCUUUCAAGAGCAUUACUUCAUCCACUUGUUAUUUAUUUAUUAAAUUUAUGUAGCUGCCCGUA